CACAAGCACCCUCCGAGCGCGGAGGUGGCCGAGCCCCGCAUCGACACCCGGGUUCGGCGGACCAGAGCAUUUCUUUAUAGUUCUGUGUUUUCAAAGUAGAGAUUUACUGAGCCUAUACCUUAUUCUGUGGACAAAAUUUCCAGUGUUUAGAUUUAAAAGUAGGGCUAAUGAGUCUAUCUAUACCUUCCCCAGCUUCAGCGAAUAAAAAGUGUCAAGGUUUAACGUUUUCUUUUUCUUUUCUUUUCUUUUAAAUUUUUCUGAAGUAGAAGCAAGGCUUGAAAAUGGAGAUGUAUGAAACCCUUGGAAAAGUGGGAGAGGGAAGUUACGGAACAGUCAUGAAAUGUAAACACAAAGAUACUGGGCAGAUAGUGGCCAUUAAGAUAUUCUAUGAGAAACCAGAAAAAUCUGUCAACAAGAUUGCCACGAGAGAAAUAAAGUUUCUAAAGCAAUUUCGUCAUGAAAACCUGGUCAAUCUUAUUGAAGUUUUUAAACAGAAAAGGAAAAUUCAUUUGGUGUUUGAAUUUAUUGACCACACCAUAUUAGAUGAGUUACAACAUUAUUGCCAUGGACUAGAGAGUAAACGACUUAGAAAAUACCUCUUUCAGAUCAUUCGAGCAGUUGACUAUCUUCACAAUAAUAAUAUUAUUCAUCGAGACAUAAAGCCUGAAAAUAUUUUAGUAUCCCAGUCAGGAAUUACUAAGCUCUGUGACUUUGGUUUUGCACGGACACUAGCAGGUCCUGGGGACAUUUACACAGACUAUGUGGCUACACGCUGGUAUAGAGCUCCAGAACUAGUGUUAAAAGAUACUUCUUACGGAAAACCUGUGGAUAUUUGGGCUUUGGGCUGUAUGAUCAUUGAGAUGGCCACUGGAAAUCCCCAUCUUCCCAGCAGUUCUGAUUUGGAUUUACUUCAUAGAAUAGUUUUAAAAGUAGGCAAUCUGACACCUCACUUGCAGAGUAUCUUUGCCAAGAGUCCCAUUUUUGAUGGAGUGAUACUUCCUCAAGUUCAACACCCCCAAAAUGCAAGGAAAAAAUACCCAAAGCUUAAUGGAUUGUUGGCAGAUAUGGUUCAUGCUUGUUUACAAAUUGAUCCUGCUGAGAGGAUAUCAUCUCAUGAUCUUUUGCAUCAUGAAUAUUUUACUAGAGAUGGUUUUGUUGAAAAAUUCUUACCAGAGCUGAGAGCUAAAUUACUACAAGAAGCAAAACUCAAUUCAUUUAUGAAGACAAAGGAUAUUCCUAAAGAAAAUGAAUUAAUGAGAGAAGAAAGAAAAACAAAUUUUAAUAAUACAAUGAUAAAUAAUUCACACUUUGGAAAGGAAACAGAAAAAGAGAAAAAGAGUAAGGACAUCAGAAUCAGAGUUUUUAAAAUCAAAGGAGGAAAAGGAGAUACCUCAGAACUGAAAAAGUUAGAAUAUGAAAGUGUUCAUCGUCAACAGGAUGCAAUUGACAAUGCUCAUGCUACAUGUCUAGAUACAAAACCUGUAAUCAUUGAACCACCAAACUCUGUCAAUCCCAGCACUAAUGCUAAUGGUAUGAAAGAAGAUUCAUAUGCUGGAGGUUGUAUGAUAAUGCCACCUAUCAACCUUACAAAUAAUUUGAUGGCUGCAAACUCCAAUCUAAAUAUCCCUUACUCUAAUCCCAGGUUAGGUGAAAGAGCAAAAAAGAAACAGACUACUGGCCAAGUUAUAUCUAAUAACAGACAAGAGGACACAGGUCCAACUCAAAACCAAAUGGAGAAGGGUGUUUUUAAUGAGAGAACUGGUCAAAUUGACCAAAUAGCAAAUGGGAACAAAAGGAAGCUGAAUUUUUCCAGAUGUGACAGGAAGGAAUUCCAUUUCCCUGAAUUGCCAUUAAUACAGCCAAAGGACAUUAAAGUUAAACAGAUAAAAAUGCUCAAGAGGGAGUCAAAGAAAACAGAUUCGCCUAAAAUACCAACUUUGCUUAAUGUGGAUCAAAAUCAAGAAAAGUAAAAGGAAAUGCACAAACUGAAAGGAAGAGGAACCUGCAAGAUGUAGAUAGAAAAUGCAGCAGCUGAAAAUUCAGGGAAUCCCAGAAUCACUGGUGGAGAUGACCUUUGUGAGGAGAGGAAUUUAAAGAGGAACUGAUUUUUUUUUCUGGAAGAAAAGGCAAUAAGAAUCAUGAAGGAACCCCUCUUCAAAAUUUGAGAAGUAAAUCUAUUUGCUGCAAGAGAUGAAUAAUAUUUGGUGGUCUCCAAAAUGUAUACUACAUAGAUCUCUAUGCAGAGCCUAAUUGGCUGGUCCACACUUCUUGUGUGUUAAUCUCUGGUAAAGACUGAGUUUCUAAGGCCUAAAAAGGCAGUCUUGUUCUUCAGAAAUGCAGCAUGCCCUCUGCCUUCCUUCCAUUCAGCCUGUCUUUCCUCUCAUAAGGGUCAGACCUGUGUUGCAAUCGUAAAAUUUCUAGCAUUCUCUGGAUCCUUUUUCAUUUUUCCUUACAGCAGUUUAAUACAUCUGUCAGGUCCCCUUCUUAGUUUCUGCUUUUUGGAGUACCCAAACUGGCAAAAAUAUACAUAGGGUGAAAUUUACAAGGCCAGCAAAAGAAAAUCUUCCAAAGGUCUGUAAGCUAAAUGCUUCUUAGAGAUAUCACAGUGCUUGGAGAAAACCAAGUUUGGUCUGAUUUGUUCAGUCAUGGAGCUUGAACUC